ensembl:misc_RNA 7SK 7SK RNA
GGGUAAGAAUACAGCAGAUAUGUCACCCCAUUGAUCGCCAGGGUUGAUUCAGCUGACCUGGUUGGCUAGGCGGGUGUCCCCUUCCACCCUCACCGCUCCAUGUACGUCCUUCCUGAAGCUGUGCACUUGGUUGAAGAGGAAGACCUUCCUGGAAUAGAGACAGCAGAGACAGCAGGUCUUCAGUCGAGGGUAGAUCAGUAGAGUAGCUGCCUGCCCCUGCUAGAACCUCCAGCCAAGCUCUGUAUCCCCUUUCCAUGGAGGCGUCUCUAUUGAUCACACAGUUGGGCAGCAUAGCCAUGCCAGAAUGCUGUUUCCAAAAAUCUGCUUUUCAUUUCUGUGCAU